rnacentral:rRNA from 1 species
AUGAAGAUCACCGUGCAAUCAUCGAAGUCCGUGAAGCCCGACUACGGCAAAGAUGGUAGCGCCGGCGGCAACGUGAUCCCACUGAGUGUGUUCGACAGGGUGAACUACGACGAGUACAUCUUCUACGUGUACGCCUUCCACCCGCCCGCGCCACCCAGCGUCGCCCUCGAGGCGGCGCUCGCCAGGGCGCUGGCUGCGUACCCCGAAUGGGCAGGCCGCCUCGGCGCCGGCCCCGCGAUCGUGCUCUGUGACGCCGGCGCACGGUUUAUCGACGCUAACGCCGACUCCGAGCUGGGCAGCGGCGCCGUCGCGCUUCUGGCCUCUGGAAGCAAGGUGCUGAGCCUAUACCCUAGUUGUGACGGCGCCGAGGAGCUGCUGCUGGUUCAGGCCACGCGGUUUCGCUGCGGCUCCCUGGUCCUCGGCUUCACCAUGCACCACAAGGUGGCCGAUGGGCCUGCCAUGUGGAAUUUCAUGGUCGCGUGGGGUCAGACCACUCGCGGCGUCGCCAUCGACCCUGUCCCGGUCCAUGACCGUAUGUCGCUCUUCGCGCGACGGGCCCUGCCGCAGAUCAGAUUCGAGCACCGUGGCGUGGAGCUCAAGCCUCGUGACGAGAAGCCGGGAACCCGUGGCGACGGCAUUGUCCACGCCGGCGACGAGGUGGUCGUACACAAGGUGCACUUUAGCCGGGAGUGGAUCAUGGAGCUAAAGUCGCUGGUAUCGGAGGGCGGCCCCCGGUCGUACACCACGCUGCAGUGCCUGGCGGGGCACUUCUGGCGGUGCAUCACCAUGGCGCGCGGGCUUGACGGGCGGCAGGCCACCAGGAUCCGAAUCGCCGUGAACGGGCGAACGCGGAUGCGCCGCCCACGGGUGCCGGAGGGAUACACUGGCAGUGUGGUGCUCUGGGCGUGGCCGACGACAACGGUGCGGCAGCUGCUAGACCGGCCUUUGCGGUACGCCGUGGAGCUCAUAUCACGGGAGGUGGCCCGGAUGGACGACGCUUAUUUCAGGUCGUUCAUCGACUUCGCGAGCUCCGGGGCGGUGGAGGAGGAGAAGCUGGUGCCGACGGCGGACGCGGCGGAGGUCCGGCUGGGCACCAAUGUUGACCUGGACAGCCUGCUAGCGAUCCCGUUCCCCGGGCUGGACUUUGGCUGUGGAGCACCCUUCUUCUUCAGGCCCUGCUACAGUCCUGCGCCGGUGGACGGCGCCAUCUACGUCGUCAAGUCCUUGGUGGGCGACGGGAGCGUGGACGCAUACGUGCCAUUGUUCAGCCGCACCAUGGACAACUUCAAGAAGUGCUGCUACUCCCUG